rnacentral:lncRNA from 1 species
CCAGAAACAUUCUUAUGAAAUAUAUAUCUACAGGCUCAGAUACUGUAAAUAGUCCCAUAUUCAAAUUCACUAUCAUAAAAUAGCCACUUAUGUCCAGAUAGUUUUCAGGACAGAUAUUUUGAUUUGUCAUCGAAAAGAAAGCACCAGAUGUAAGGACUGAAAUGAACGAUGAAUUAACUUGUUUAGUUGCUUCAGUUUACCAAUCCCUAACAACACUGAUAUUUUACAUUGACAAAAGGCAGCGCUAAACUGGGAAGAGCUUGUUGUCCUGCAAAACAAACUGGACACUGAAAUAAAUGUCAGUUAAGCACAGGCUGGACACACUGACAGUCCUGAGGUCUGAUCCCAUAAAGUGGAAACAUGUGUGGUUGGAGCUGUGUACACAUUUCAGUGUAAAGAUCAGAAACAAAUACAAGAAUUCAUAUGUGUUUAUUAUGAAAAACAUCCAAUGUUUUUUUCAACUGAAUAUCUCAUACUUCAGAUUCCUCAAAAAGGACAAGCUUAACCAUAGGGAGGACGGGCCACACACACAGGAAAGAGAAAUUUAAAGGAUGUAUACAAGCCACUAUAUAAUUAUAGAGUUCGUGGGAUCUCUAAAUGAAACCAAAGUAUAAAUAACUUAAACAAAUAAGAAGAUAAACAGUUUAAGUAAAAAAAAAGUUUGUGGUUUAUGUUUUACCUUAAUGCCUGCAUUAAGAAAAUUGAAGGACAGAGUAUCAACAUGGGCAAAACAACUAAAAUAUGGCAUAAUGACACAUUACAUGAGUGUGGUGGGGAUGGGCGAUAUACAGUUGUUUCUUUCUAACUAAAUACUAGUAAUUUAACACUGGAUCUAAACGUCCUUACUGAUGUUUUCGCCUGAGUUCAAAUCAAUAAAGACGACUAGCAAUAAACCUGCACCACUAAUUGUAGAUCUGGCAGAUUUAAUGAGACCACCCAUAAAGUCUAUCAGGAAACAGCUGUAUUGCUGUUUGACUUGUGCCAGAAUAAUCUCUCCAUUGUACAGACAUAACCAACUUAAAGAUUCUAAUACAUACACAAAUUGUAAGGUGUUAAUUUGCCUGAUGCUUUCCUCUGUCACCUUCAUCCUCACGUCCUCAUUCAGACUCUUUAACCUCAUGUCACCAAUGUGUCCCACCUGUUGGACAUUUCAACAUAUCAUUAUCAAACUUAGCUGA